AAAAUGCCAGCUGUGGAGAUGAGUUGUGGGCUCCUAGAAAAAGAGCCGUUAGGCUGCAAGGCACCUUGUGGAUUAAGAAGCUGACAUCGUUUGACUUAGGUUUCAAAUGAACGGCACAGGGACAUUGGAAUAGAUGACAGAGGAUUCUACAGAGUGAUGGACAGAACGGUACCCCUGAGGUUCAAAGCAACUGUAGCAACUCCGUGUUUCCAACAUGUUCGUUUCUAUGACACACUCUGCUUUUCACGCGGUAAAAUUCGCAAAGAAUUCUCUUUCCA
rnacentral:lncRNA from 1 species